rnacentral:lncRNA from 10 species
GCUGUUCAGACAGACAGCGUGACUCCAACACACCAGAAAAGACAAAGGAGUCACACAGAGCCAGAAAAUCCUCCCAGAGCCUCUGCUUCUGACCUCUGGGGCCAACCCAGCCCCACGGGGCUCUGGGUUCUCAGCUGCAGACAGCGGGGCUGUGGUCACACGUGCCCUGCUUGCUAGGGUGCUGACCCUGGGCAGCGAGGCCUCCCUGGUCUCCACCAAUGGUGCAAAUCCCAUAGCAGGGACCAACAGAGCUGGAAUCACCACAUCCAGGGGCCUGGGGGAACUGCAGGAGGCCCCGCCCUCCAUAUCAAGAAGCAAAGGAAGCAGGGGACGGAGAGGAAUUCGUACACCAGCAUAUGAACCUCACCCGAACUCCAGGAGGGACAUUGUCAUUAGUCACCAGGGUUGGAUCCAUGCAAGGGGCCUGGCACUAGG